AAUGAACGCUGGCGGCAGGCCUAACACAUGCAAGUCGAACGGAUCCUUCGGGAUUAGUGGCGGACGGGUGAGUAACGCGUGGGAACAUACCCAAAGGUACGGAAUAGCCUCGGGAAACUGGGAGUAAUACCGUAUGUGCCCUUCGGGGGAAAGAUUUAUCGCCUUUGGAUUGGCCCGCGUUGGAUUAGGUAGUUGGUGGGGUAAUGGCCUACCAAGCCGACGAUCCAUAGCUGGUUUGAGAGGAUGAUCAGCCACACUGGGACUGAGACACGGCCCAG
rnacentral:rRNA from 1 species